CAGACUCCUACGGGAGGCAGCAGUGAGGAAUAUUGGACAAUGGGCGCAAGCCUGAUCCAGCCAUGCCGCGUGCAGGAUGACGGUCCUAUGGAUUGUAAACUGCUUUUGUACGAGAAGAAACACUCCUUCGUGAAGGAAUUUGACGGUAUCGUAAGAAUAAGGAUCGGCUAACUCCGUGCCAGCAGCCGCGGUAAUACGGAGGAUCCAAGCGUUAUCCGGAAUCAUUGGGUUUAAAGGGUCCGUAGGCGGUUUAGUAAGUCAGUGGUGAAAGCCCAUCGCUCAACGGUGGAACGGCCAUUGAUACUGCUGAACUUGAAUUAUUAGGAAGUAACUAGAAUAUGUAGUGUAGCGGUGAAAUGCUUAGAGAUUACAUGGAAUACCAAUUGCGAAGGCAGGUUACUACUAAUUGAUUGACGCUGAUGGACGAAAGCGUGGGGAGCGAACAGGAUUAGAUACCCUGGUAGUCCACGCCGUAAACGAUGGAUACUAGCUGUUGGGAGCAAUUUCAGUGGCUAAGCGAAAGUGAUAAGUAUCCCACCUGGGGAGUACGUUCGCAAGAAUGAAACUCAAAGGAAUUGACGGGGGCCCGCACAAGCGGUG
rnacentral:rRNA from 1 species